GAUGGAGGCGAAGCAUUUGGGUGCUCGGCUCCGUAGGAGUGUCCGCCCGGCCCUCUCCGCGCCCCCGCUCAGCGCCACAGGAUGGGACCCAGGCUCGGGAAGGGCGAAGGUAUCAAGUAGCACUGGCCCCUUUUUGUGAGCGCGAGUGUAAUCAGAGUGGUUGUCUAAUCCCAAAUUGCAGGCGCAUUUUCUGAACGCUCAGCCCAUAAAAGCCCUGGAUUAAGGGGAGGCAGGGGGCACAAGGCAGAGAGCGAGCGAGCGAGAGAAAAGUUUGGCGCAGCUUGCAGCGCGGAGGACCCGGGGUUGCCGCCUGGCGCGCACGCUGCGCUGGCGGAGAAGGAGCAGCGACGGCGGCGGAGGCGGAGGGGGGGAGCCAGGUGUUGCCCUGUCCCGCGAGGAGCCACCUCCAGGGACCGCGCUGGACGGGGCCGGCAGUGCCCCCAAAGGGCCCCGUUCGGGACGGGGCGCCGGCGGAAGGCUCCUGGAUUCUGCCCCAGGCCCCAGGGCCCCCAGCUCGGACUCCCUUUGCUUGUACCCAGGGGUAGCGCUAGCUUGUGCGCACAGCUCCCUCCCCGCCAAACAAUCAGAGGUAAUAAACUUUUCACACUGGGAAGAGAGGACAGCAGCAGUUAACGGAAUCAAGGAGAAUUCUCUCACAUCACCAUAUUCUUCUUUCAUUGUUUGGCUUGAGUGGUGAAGGAUGCAUGUUCUAUUCUUCUCUUCACUUGACAUCUACCAGAUCCCUCCUCAGUGAUUAGGAAUGAUCACGAUACCAAGAUUGGAACAGUUAAGGCCCAAAUUCCACCCUCAGAAACAUACAGGCAAUUCCCAUUGACUUUAAGUUUUGGUUCUGCAGUGCACUGUAAUAUCUCCUGAACGAGACUGAAUAAAGGCUGUAGCAAAAAGUUCAAUGAUUUUGUCCAACAAGCCAGGAUUUGGAUGACUCUCUCUUCCCUCCCCCUACCACCCUCCCCCCCAAAAAUAGCUUACAUCUUUUGGUUAAUCUCAUGCAUCAAAUUAUUAUUUCAACUGCUGCUAUUUAAUAAUGACUGAGGCCUUUUUCUUCUUUCAUCUGUACCAUUUUUGAACUACAAAUCCAUUACAAUUUUUGGAGGACAGUGCAAAUGAAUAAGUAGUAUACUUUUAUGUUGUAGAACUUGAACAUGGAUUUAUAAAAUAUCAUUUCCAUUAAAUACUACAGGGGUUACUAAUGGGUAACUCAUAUGCUGAUUACUUUUUAAACAUUUUAAUAAAUAGUAAUCUGAUAAAUGGUUAGGCUGAAUCAAUUUGAAAGCACCAUUUUUUCCCUGCUAAACAAACAAACAAACA